GGGGGGUGCGAGCGUUGUCCGGAAUCACUGGGCGUAAAGGGCGCGUAGGUGGCGUGAUAAGGGUGUGGUGAAAGCCCGGGGCUCAACCCCGGGUCGGCCAUGCCGACUGUCAGGCUCGAGUGCUGUAGGGGCAGGCGGAAUUCCGGGUGUAGCGGUGGAAUGCGUAGAGAUCCGGAGGAAGACCGGUGGCGAAGGCGGCCUGCUGGGCAGUUACUGACACUGAGGCGCGACAGCGUGGGGAGCAAACAGGAUUAGAUACCCUGGUAGUCCACGCCGUAAACGAUGGGUACUAGGUGCCUGGGGGAGCGACCCCCUGGGUGCCGGCGCUAACGCAGGAAGUACCCCGCCUGGGGAGUACGGCCGCAAGGCUG
rnacentral:rRNA from 1 species